rnacentral:rRNA from 1 species
CCUACGGGCGGCAGCAGUGGGGGAUAUUGCACAAUGGGGGAAACCCUGAUGCAGCGACGCCGCGUGUGGGAAGACGGUCCUCUGGAUUGUAAACCACUGUCCCCAGGGACGAAGAUGACGGUACCUGGGGAGGAAGCUCCGGCUAACUACGUGCCAGCAGCCGCGGUAAUACGUAGGGAGCGAGCGUUGUCCGGAUUUAUUGGGUUUAAAGGGUGCGUAGGCGGUUUUUUAAGUUAGUGGUUAAACGUCGGGGCUUCACCUUGAUUUGCCAUUAAUACUGUAAGACUCGAGUUCAGACGAGGUAGGCGGAAUAAGUUAAGUAGCGGUGAAAUGCUUAGAUAUAACUUAGAACUCCGAUAGCGAAGGCAGCUUACCAGACUGCGACUGACGCUGAAGCACGAGAGCGUGGGUAGCGAACAGGAUUAGAUACCCCAGUAGUC